GACACCGAGAGGCACGUGCGAUGUGAUUUCCCUGUAGACAUCAUGUCGGACGGUACCUCAUUCGAGGAUGGUCUCUUUGUCGCACAGUCGACGAUACUGUGGGGCUCUGCAGGAUGUUUUCCCAUGAAAAACCGGAGACUGUGCGCUUCAUCGCCGAUAAUUCACUCCACCUUCUAAACAACAAGUAUGCAUCUUUAUCUUUGUGCAAAAAGGGUGAAGAAUAUGAGCAUCCGGAGUAUAUCAUUCGCAUUUUUUCAGGUCCACUACACUGAAAGCAAACUAAAAGAUUACAUUGACCCAGAUUAUG